UCAGCAGUGAAAAAGAAGGGAAUGCGUGAUUGGUUAUUACGUAUGUAGCAGUGUACCAGCGCUUACACUGAGAGCUGUCACAAUUGGUCAGCAGGAAGCCAGUGAUGCUGGUUUCUGCUGACAGGGGGGUGUCCAGGCUGUGCAGUGGCAGGGGGUCCCUGCUGCUGUGAAUAAUGCAUGACGUACAGAAUACAGCUGAUUACUGGUGUUUUGAGAACAGUCAUAUAGAACUCACAUUGAAGGAGAUGUUUCACCUUGGGUGCCUCGUAAAAUAUUAUUAGAUACGUGAUGCAUCGUGUAUAGAGAAGUAAAAGAAACCCGUUGUUUUAUUUUUCUCCUCAAUGUUUCCUAUCACUUAAAAAAACUGCAUUAAAAGCUUUAUUGAGA